rnacentral:lncRNA from 1 species
CGCAUGUGCCUCAGCAGCUUCAACGUCAGCCACAAAAUCAAUUUUCCAAUUCGUGGCACAAACAAAGUGUCCGGCGUGGUCGUGGAUAAGCUCCAGUAGUGCCAGUGAGAGUAUCGGCAUCGAAAGAGGCAUCAACAUUAAGCUUUACCCAACCUUCAGGAGGUCUAGACCAACCUUGCUUCUUGGCAUGUGCUUUCACCGGCGAAGCGGCAACAUAGUUUGAUGUCAUCGCACAGAUAGAAACCGCCGAUCUGUCAGGGGAUUGAAGUAUCUCGCCAUGAACAGCCUUCCGGCGCUCCCACCAAAUAUACCAGCAUGUCGUCGCCACCAAUUCACGCAAACCAGCAGGUGGAUCGCCUGACCUGAAGGAGUCACAUAGCAGGUACUCAAGAACCGCAGACCCAGCCCGGUCGGAAAGACAAGCUUCAUUGACAAACUUCUGGCAGUUAAGUUUUUCCCAUAUAGCUAUAGCACGCUUGCAGCGGAAUAGCAUGUGAAAGAUAUCCUCAGCUCCUUCUUGACAGAGAGGGCAUUGAGCACUGAUCUUCAUAUGGCGAUUUGCAAGAACAACACGGCAAGGCAAAGCACCGUGGAGGGUUUUCCACAAGAAGAUUUUUACCUUUGCCGGCACCCGCAGCUUCCAGAGAAUUUUCCACGCCGGGUGCUGUUUAGAGGAAUCCCUACCGUCUGAACGACGGAGCUUGUGGCCAUGCUGGUUCAUCCAGUCAGCAUGAUAAGCUGACUUCACGGAGAAGGUGAUAUGGACAUGCUAAUCAUGGAUACGACCAUUAGAACCCUAAUUGUUGGUGUCUCUAAUAAUUAUAAUCAGGUGAAUUCAAUUACAAAAUGUUUUCAAUAUGUUACUUGCAAAGAGGCGGAGCUAUUAUCUUGUGUAAUCUUAUUAUGUAGGCAUCUUAUUGAACUUUACAAGUCCAAAGUGAAGAUGAAGUGUUAUAGCCUGCAAAGGGAGAUUCAAAGUGAAGCCUAUCAAGUCUACUUUCCAACAAAUCAAACGGCACAUGAUUCGGAGCUUGCUAGAGAAAGAUAUCACGAAUUAAAGUUGAAUCCGAUUCGGGUCCGAGGUGUCAGGAGAUCCGAAUUUGUUUUAAUCACCCAGGCCGCAUCCGGAGUCCAAAUCAACCAAACAAGUACUUGUUGGAAAGGUAAUUACAAGACCUUUUCAACGGAUCUAGCCCCAUCAAGAGAUUCGACUUGUGCUGACCGUGGCGGACAAAACAAGAUGACGGAUCUGUUUUUCUGUUUCCUAAAGAGUUGUAGUUUGUUAGGAAAGUUAGAGAUAGAGUUGAAUUUCGGACUCCUUAUUCAAGGUGGACGAAAAUAUCUCUCCCUCCUCCUUUAUAUACACCAUGAGCCCCCCUAAGGAGCCUUGGGUUUUGAUUAGAUAAAGUUUAGCCUUUGCUACUUUCGUGUAAUCGCGUGUGUCGGUUAGACCACCUGUUUUACCGUCAUCAAGACUCCAACUAUAUUGAGUAUUCAGAUUCGUGAACCUUCAUAUCUUCUAUUCGCAAUUUCAGAUUGCUUUUCAUCUUGUUCUUGCUUGUUCUUCGAUUGCUUGUAGGAACAAAGACCUUCGUGGUCAGGUUGAUCGUGCCCCCGCGGGAUCAAUAACCUUCUGGAGUUGGUGUAUCGAUCGCUAAGGCGCUGCCUCCUAGGCCGUAGUCGGAUCGUCAACGUCACCUCCUACCAAAUCGAUAAUUAGGUAUCUCAUCGAAAGAUCGGGACACCCUCGAGGCUAUCACGUGGUAUCAGAGCUUAAGGUUGCUCGGUGAGAUUUUUCCAGUUUAUCCGUAGUUUAGAUCUGUUUUUACCUAUCGUCCAGAAAAAGCCAAACAAAAAUUAAAAUUAGUUACCUUGUCCUAGAACCAAUCUGAGCCUUGCAAUUUUCACAUUAGUAUUUGCAUUGUUGAAUCUUUGCUGCAUUAAUCGUGUCGAGUUGCUGGAUUAGAUUGGAUCGUUUUUCAGAUUUUUUCUACUAUAUCAAACUUGCUUUUGGUUUUCUUGUUUUUCGUGUGACGCAGGUUUCCUUCAUCAAUCUUCCGCCGCCAAACUUCCUGCCACACCACCGCCAUAAUCUUCCGCCGCCACCAUAUCUUCCACCGAGUCCCUCUUCGAGUCCUACACCGAGUCCUUCUUCCAGUCCUACACCGAGUCCCUCUUCGAGUCCUACACCGAGUCCCUCGUCGAGUCCUACAUCGAGUCGGCAAGUUAUAGUUUUCAGCCGCGAGUUCGAGUCCGAGUCCAAUCAAGAGUGCUUUUGGAAAGUGUUUCAUAAUAGAUCGAAUUUUGUUUAGAGAUCAAGUUGUUCGGAAAGUUGUGGAAAAAAAAAGAAGGGAAAGAAAAAAAAAAGGAAGAAAGAAAGAAAAAAAAACGAAAAAAAAGAAAAGAGAAAGAGUUCGAGUCAGUUUCGGACCCGAGUCCGAGUAGAAUUUUAGUUUCGGGUGGGUUUGACCCGUGUUCAGUAAAACGGACGUAUCUUUUGCAUAACAACUCGGAUUUGGACGUUCUUGGACUUUUUGGAAAGCUCACGACGAAGCGCAUCAGGAAAUAUCCAGGACGCUGCCCUGCACUUUGACCCUCAAAUUCGUCCUCUAAGGUGGACUUCUCGAGCUCCAAAGUUUCUGCACCCGUUUUACGGCACCGGGGCAGCGUAGUAUAUCUCAGUUUUCUCCACCGUCCGACCUCCGUUUCGAGUGAUCUUGCACUUGUUGGAAAGCUUGUUUCGAUACGCUUCUAACCCAUAUUUUUUCAUAUUUUUCUGAAUUUUUUUCUUACUGCAGCCUUUGCUGUUCUUCGACAGACUGACGUACAGUUUUCCGGUCCUUCUUUUGCGUGAGUUUCUGGGGUUAAAAAAAGAAAAACAAAUAAAAAGAAAAGAAUAAGAAGCCAAACAGAAGGCCACAAAAAGAAAAAAGAAGAAAAAAAUCCCAGGGAUUUACUUGUUGUGCCAUCUUUUGAUCUUUCUAUCCUAUCUUCUUUAGUAUCUAGGCUUAGAUUAUUUCUGUAAUUCGUUCUUAUCGACUCCAGCAGCUAGGACUAGCAUUAUUGAGCAUAUUUUCAACUUUGCAUUGCUGAUUUGAUUAUUUGCUAUUCCUUGCUACUCACAAAAGCAUCCAAGCUCCACAGAUUCUACACCUAGGUUGGUUUGUUACCGAGGCAUCGAUACAUUUAAUCUUCGGAGGGCUUGGUCAUGCCGCUGGCCAUCACCUUCCUAUUUUGCAUGGUAAGAACUUGUAAAAACUUGAUUUUUAGCUUGAGAGUUGAGCGACUUGUAGCCACAUCCUAUUAGUUGAUAGGAACAUAUUCCUGUGUUUUGUUUCUUGUCUUAUACUAACCAUGACAGGACUUACACAAAGGAUGGAAAAUAGGCCUAUUCUAUCAAGUGACCGACAUGAGCGUUUUUCACCACAUCCAUCCUCCUCGUCUCUUGUUGACAUUGGCAAGGAAAAGGUAUAUCGCAAUCCUUGUAAUGUCACUAAUUGUUUUGGACCUCUCUUUGAUGGAAAUAAUGAUGUUGAAGCUUAUAUUGAUUGGGAAAUAGCUCUAAUUGAGCAAUUCACAUGCUUCCAUGUACUAGAUAGUCGUAAGGUCCAAAUUGCUAGUAGUAGAUUUCGUUUUGAUGCAUUAUCAUGGUGGAGUGAGAUAGUUAGAGAAAACAAAAUACCUCACACUUGGAUUGAUAUGAAGAAAAUCAUGAGAGAAAAAUAUGUUCCUCCAAGUUAUGCUUAUGAGUUGCGUCCCAAAUUACGACGUUUGACAUAUGAUAAAACUGUUGAUGAUUACUACCAUGAGUUCCAAAUUUUAACCUUGCGAUCUGGUUUAGAUGAAACCGAACAAAGAAAAAUGGAUAGGUUUUAUUAUGGGCUUAAUUUUGAAAUUUCUUACGUGAUUGAAUAUGGGGAUUACGACUCUCUAUUGUGUUUGCUUAAUCUUGCUCGUGAAGCUGAGAGGAAGUUAGAAAGAAGGUAUAAUACAAAUGAGGCGAGCCCACAAGGUAAUGUUACAGAGGUUUGUGUUGCUGAACUAAAUAUGACGUGUAUUGAAAUAAAUGAGAUAUUUGAUGAACAUGCUGCCCCUUGUAAAACUGUUGAUUUACUUGCCAAUUUGAGCGCACCCAUUGAUUCAAAUGAUAAUGAUUUAUGUGAUGAGUUACCUGCUGUUUUGGAACAGACUUGUGACGCGAUGAUUAAAUUUGAUUUAUGUUGCAUUGAAUUAAUUAAACAUGAAGAAGUGUUUCCUAUGGUUCCGCCUAAUAAUUCUUUGUGUUCUAUUAAACUUGAUGCACCUAUAUAUUUGUCACAUGCAAUGGAUAAAGGUUCUGAGUUAACAAUUUCAAAAUCUUUUGCUAAUGCCCAUGGAUACACUAUUCAAUUAAUUGGAGAACAUGAUGUGAACAAUAAAUUUUGGGUGCAUCAGAUUUGCAUUGCUUGUGAUAACUUUCUUGAUUUGAGAGAAAAUAAUAUGUUGCAUAUGCUUAACCAUUUUGAUAUGACCUCCAAUAUUGGUGUUGAUUAUUUGCCAAUUAGUUCUUUACACGAUUGUUCGAAUAUUAGUGCUUUGACAUGCUCUAAAUUUCAGCAUCUUGUAGUAACUAAUUUGGGUAAUAUUAUUAAUUAUUAUUCUCCAGUGUUGGGAUGGUAUAAUGGUGAGCGGUGCAAACCAAAUACAAGAUAUUCUUUCACUUAUAUAUGCAAAACAUAUUGUCAAUCUUCUUGCUGGAAUGAUAUUCAUGAUGAUUGUGUGACUAAUUAUCUCAUGAGAUUGUGUUAUAAAACAUUAAUUGUGCAACAUGGGAGUGGAGUUAAAAAUUACGAUAUAUACAUAUACCAUGCGCAUACCUUGUCUCUUUUGUUAGCAUAUUUUCAGCAUAAACGACGCCGAGGACGGCUUUCCUUUCAAGAAAGGGAGGAUGAUAUGGACAUGCUAACCAUGGAUACGACCAUUAGAACCCUAAUUGUUGGUGUCUCUAAUAAUUAUAAUCAGGUGAAUUCAAUUACAAAAUGUUUUCAAUAUGUUACUUGCAAAGAGGCGGAGCUACUAUCUUGUGUAAUCUUAUUAUGUAGGCAUCUUAUUGAACUUUACAAGUCCAAAGUGAAGAUGAAGUGUUAUAGCCUGCAAAGGGAGAUUCAAAGUGAAGCCUAUCAAGUCUACUUUCCAACAAAUCAAACGGCACAUGAUUCGGAGCUUGCUAGAGAAAGAUAUCACGAAUUAAAGUUGAAUCCGAUUCGGGUCUGAGGUGUCAGGAGACCCGAAUUUGUUUUAAUCACCCAGGCCGCAUCCGGAGUCCAAAUCAAGCAAACAAGUACUUGUUGGAAAGGUAAUUACAAGACCUUUCCAACGGAUCUGGCCCAUCAAGAGAUUCGACUCGUGCUGACCGUGGCGGACAAAACAAGCUGACGGAUCUGUUUUUCUGUUUCCUAAAGAGUUGUAGUUUGUUAGGAAAGUUAGAGAUAGAGUUGGAUUUCGGACUCCUUAUUCAAGGUGGACGAAAAUAUCUCUCCCUCCUCCUUUAUAUACACCAUGAGCCCCCCUAAGGAGCCUUGGGUUUUGAUUAGAUAAAGUUUAGCCUUUGCUACUUUCGUGUAAUCGCGUGUGUCGGUUAGACCACCUGUUUUACCGUCAUCAAGACUCCAACUAUAUUGAGUAUUCAGAUUCGUGAACCUUCAUAUCUCCUAUUCGCAAUUUCAGAUUGCUUUUCAUCUUGUUCUUGCUUGUUCUUCGAUUUCUUGUAGGAACAAAGACCUUCGUGGUCAGGUCGAUCGUGCCCCCGCGGGAUCAAUAACCUUCUGGAGUUGGUGUAUCGAUCGCUAAGGCGCUGCCUCCUAGGUUGUAGUCGGAUCGUCAACGUCACCUCCUACCAAAUCGAUAAUUAGGUAUCUCAUCGAAAGAUCGGGACACCCUCGAGGCUAUCAGAAGGUCCCUGAUUUGGUUAAGUCCCAAGCCAUAAAAUCUGUGUCUACCCGACUAGACAGAGGAAUAGAGAGAAUUCUUUGCACGUCCACCGGGAGGAAAGUUUGCAGAAGCAGAUCGAUGUCCCAAUUCUCGGUUGCUGGAUUAAUGAGCUCAUUAACUUUGGUGACGAGAUAACACUCGUCUAGAAUGGGAGUGAGGUAUCCAAGGAUGGUCCCAUAUAUGAAUUUUUGCACCAUCGCCGACACGCCAAAUAUUACCAAGUUUGAAAGUCUUGAUUCCCGCAAAGAUGCUUUGCCAACUGAAAGAAGCACCCUUCUUCAGCUGAGCAGUAAGAAGAUCUCCCUCUCGAUACUAUUUGGCACGGAGAACCUUAGCACACAGCGAGUCGGGUGAGGAGAUCAGACGCCCCGAGCAUGGCCUGGUUAUAGCAAUGAAUAUCUCAAAAGCCCAUACGGGCUUGUGAUUUUGGAACACACAUUUUCCACCAAGCGAACCAAUGCAUCCUCCGAUGGUUUUCUUCGUCUCCCCACCAAUACCGCGACAUAACAUCUGAUAUCCCUUUACAAAUUUGUUUCGGGAUUUUGAAGACGGACAUCGCAUAGGAGGGGAUAGCUUGAGCCACCGAUUUCAAGAGAACUUCCUUUCCUCUAGCCGAGAGCAGUCUCUCCUUCCACCCGGUUGUGCGUCUUUUAACACGAUCAACAAGGAACUGAAAGCAAUCUGAUCUGUCAGCUCGACAGUCGAUUAUCCAUAGUUGAUUGAGUUUAAACUGUUUGACCAGAAUGUGUAAUAACAAUACAUAUCUGCAGGAUGUAG